GCCCAGAGUCUGAAUCAGCUUGUGUGUUAGUGGAAGCGUCUGGAAAGUCGCACGGUACAGGGUGACAGUCCCGUACACGAAAGCACACAGGCUGUGAACUCGAAGAGUAGGGCGGGACACGUGGUAUCCUGUCUGAAUAUGGGGGGACCAUCCUCCAAGGCUAAAUACUCCUGACUGACCGAUAGUGAACCAGUACCGUGAGGGAAAGGCGAAAAGAACCCCGGCGAGGGGAGUGAAAAAGAACCUGAAACCGUGUACGUACAAGCAGUGGGAGCACCUUCGUGGUGUGACUGCGUACCUUUUGUAUAAUGGGUCAGCGACUUAUAUUCUGUAGCAAGGUUAACCGUAUAGGGGAGCCGAAGGGAAACCGAG
rnacentral:rRNA from 1 species